AACGAACGCUGGCGGCAGGCCUAACACAUGCAAGUCGAGCGAAGCCUUCGGGCUUAGCGGCGGACGGGUGAGUAACGCGUGGGAACGUGCCCUUUGGUACGGAAUAGCCCCGGGAAACUGGGAGUAAUACCGUAUGUGGUCGAGAGACGAAAGAUUUAUCGCCAAAGGAUCGGCCCGCGUUGGAUUAGGUAGUUGGUGGGGUAAUGGCCUACCAGGCCGACGAUCCAUAGCUGGUUUUAGAGGAUGAUCAGCCACACUGGGACUGAGACACGGACCAGACUCCUAGGGGAAGCAGCAGUGGGGAAUCUUUGACAAUGGGGGAAACCCUGAUCUAGCCAUGCCGCGUGAUUGAUGAAGGCCUUAGGGUUGUAAAGAUCUUUCAGUGGGGAAGAUAAUGACUGUACCCACAGAAGAAGCCCCGGCUAACUCCGUGCCAGCCGCCGCGGUAAAAC
rnacentral:rRNA from 1 species